GGAACAUGUAAAAUGGCAGCUAAGGUCUAUGGAAACCCUUCAUGUUUAGAAACUGGCUAAAGCUUGAGUUCUCUUAUCUUUUGGUUAAGGGCACCACUUUCAGAUAAAAACAUAGACCUGAAUGGCAUCAUCCAGUAUCCAAGGAAACCAUGUAAGUACCUCUCUCACUGUGUACUUCUGUUAUUCAGAUCUUAAAAGCUAGCUGAGUACUGAAUAAGUGAGUGUUUUUAUUUAAUAAUUGUAAGGGAGGUACUUUUUAGGAGCCUGCUAAAAAGAAACAGGUUCUUUAUUGUUAUGUGCGUCAUAACAAAACUCUCAUGUUUUCAUCAUAUUUCAUAAAAUUAUGUGCUUAGUACCACUCUCUCCAUCAAUUCUCAUUCUUAGGUACAAAAUAGUUACUCAAAGUCCUAAUGAAUUGGAAGUUUCAAACUUUUCCAAGACCCAAACAAUGUUUCAGAGUCCUUGUGCCGGGAGUACUUUAUUAAUUGUAGUUAAACUUGUUAAAUUUUAAAAAUUAAGAAAAAAUUCCUUGGAAAAUAAUGGUUUAUUGGUAAACAUGUAUGGCAAUUUAUUUGGCCGUAGGCUUGCUUGAAGAGUGAGCAGGUGAGCAAAGAGACAAGAUUACAUGUUUAAACCAAGAAAAGAAUCUUGAAAGUAAGUGUAAUGACCAAGAUGCAAAAAUCUGUUUGGGGAAAUUGUUGGGAGGUUGGCACAUUAUUUUCUUUAUCCCCUCCCCACAAACUAAUGUACAUUUCUGCAGCUAAUAUCAAAGUUUUAAUUCAUGUUCAGGAGCUAUGAAAUCUACUGUGGAAAUUUAGUUUCUAAACAACAUGCUACUCUGGAGAAAGACAUUCCUAAAAUAUUUGAAAUUUCUACUAUUUCCAUACUUCGACUUUUUUUUUUGUUAUUUGUACUAUCUCCUUUUAAAAUUAAAUUAUUUUCAAUGUGAAAUGAUUAUUCAUUAUUGUUUAUAUAGCUUUUCACGAAAACACUUAACAUUUUCUAUAUACUCAUGUAAUUAUAGACCUCAUUUUUUACCUUCUAAAUUCACUAUAUGAUUUACCUACUCUUUAAAUACAGACAUAUUACUUUUCAUUGAGGGUGGUUUCAGAGUUUUUCAUAUAUAUAUAUUUUUGCUUUUGUCACUCGUGUGUAUUUCUACUUUUCCUCUGCAGCAUGGCUCCUUGCUAAGCAUAAAUGGUAGAGAUUAUCUCACAGUUUCUCUGAAGAAUUAGAGAGGUCCUUCAUGUUCAAUAACUAACUGCAGGAGCAUUUCACUUUAUCACAUAAUUAUGUCAAAUUCUAUUGUUUAUGCAUUUGCAUAUUUCUGCCUUUUAAUAUAUGUUACCAAACACAUCUUUCUGAAUUGAGAAAAGUUGUCAGACUAAGGAAUUCGCUGGAACUUUGGAAGGGCCUCCUCACCCAAUAGGAAGACCUGGCUAGGAAUUUAAUUUUUUAUGUAACUCACAAACUUCACAAGUGUGGAGUUUGAGACCGGAAGUGCUACCAAACUCCACUGAAAGUGGAGUUUGAGGCCAGAAGUGGGAUUUCCUUGCUGCAUAAUAAAAGUGGGCUUUGGCUGAGUAAAAUUGGAAGCAGAGAGGGCUUAGAAUAGAUGUUUAUAAAGAAAGAAAAUGCUAAUUGAAGGGGAAGACCAGGUAAUGUUAUAAUUCACUAUUUUGAGAAAAUGGAAUCUUUUGAAUUCAUUCUCCUUGUAAUACAAGGGAAAUGAAAAUCUAUAGUACAAUGCUCAUGGCACAAUUUUAACUGUUUACAUUAAAAUAUAAAUUUUUCCAGAAAAAAAAUUUAAAUUUGACAUAUUUAAUGAAACCUCCUAUAACAAAAGGAAAAUUGCUAUAGAAAUAAAUGUGUAUAUGUAUAUAUAUAUAUACACACACACACACAUUUAUGUAUAUAUUUGAGAUUUUCCAUUCAUCAGUAGUCACCUCUUUAAUGUAGACCAACCUUGUUUAGUAGAACUUUCUGUGAUAAUGGACAUGUUCCAUAGCUGCACCAUCCAAUAUGGUACUCACUAGCCAUAUGUGGCUAUUGAGUACUUGAAACAUGGCUAGUGCAACAGAGAAACUUAAUUUUGAAUUUUAUUUACAUUUAAUUAAUUUAAAUAUAAAUAGCCCACAUGUAACUAGUGGCUACUAUAUAAACAACCUAGCUCUGGUCUAGAUCACUUAGAAAUGUGGGGAGAGUCAAAUAUGUAUAGAUUUGAUAUCACUAUCAGUUAUUUCUUAUCUGUAUCAACUACCAUUGACCAUUACUGAAAUCAUUAAUGCCUGAAGAAGUGUGCUCCAACAUUAAUUUAGCAGGAUUUUGAGAAAUAUUGUCAUGUGAUAGGCCAAAUUGUAAAGAGUACUAUUUUGUUUUCAUCAGAAAUUAAAUACCCUCUUGCAGAGAUUUUCUAUUUCUUUUGGUAUUCUGUCAUACAAUAUAAUUUUUUAUGUUUACUUUAAUAUUUGAAUUAUAUUACAGUAGAAUUUCUUUAUGAUACUUUCUCAGAGAUGAAUGCUUUUCAUAUGGUCGAUAGGAAGACAUUAUAAAAUUACUUUAUAAGCCUGGGACAGCAACUUUUAAAAUGGCCUUUGUAAACAAGACUACAUGAAAAAGAUAAAUACACUAAUGAAAAUUCUAACUAUGGGGACAAAUAUUUUUAAAAGUUUAGUUAUAAUUGGCUGGGUGUUGUGGCUCAUGACUGUAAUCCCAGAACUUUGGGAGGCCAAGGUGAGUGGAUCAUCUGAGGUCAGGAUUCAAGACCAGCCUGACCAACAUGGUGAAACCCUGUCUCUACUAAAAAUACAAAAUUAGCCGGGCGUGGUGGCAGGCACCUGUAAUCCUAGCUACUUGGGAGGCUGAGGCAAGAGAAUCACUUGAACCCGGGAGGUGGAGGUUCCAGUGAGCUGAGACCACACCAUUGCACUCCAGCCUGGGCAACAAGAGUGAAACUCCAUCUCAAAAAAUAAAUAAAUAAAUAAAUAAAAUAAAAAUAAAAAAAGGAAAAAGUUUUCUUACAAGUUCUGCAAUGCAACUUGGCAAUACAACUUGGCAAAUAAUUCCAAAAAUGUAAUCGGCCUCAAAAAGUGCUCCCUAGCCUUGUUUCUCCAAAAGCUGAUUCUACUUCCAAAGCACACAUCAGAAUUUAAAUCUCCCAUGACCUUUUCAGGCGUUUAGUGGAAAUGAUCAUUAGGAUUUGUGAUGAUACUUUUAUAAUAAUGCUAGACAGUGAUAUCAUAGAUAGGAUAAUUGCGUAUAAAAUAAUAUUGAAAAUUUUAAAUUUGUAUAGAUUUUAAAAGUUAGUAAAUUCAUAUCUUGAAUGCUGAUUAUUUGUAGGACAUUGAACCUAGAGACUCUGGGAAAUAUUUUUUUAAGUGGGAGACAUCCGUCCUUUUAGGAACUCCAUUUAUUGGACCUGGGAAUGUUCUUUUGGAAGGAUAGGAUUCAGAUAAGCGAGAGAGAGGAGACUUCCUUUGGCAUAACCUUGGACAAGCUACUGAGUGUUCCUUCUGCAGUGAAACAAUAGGAUUCUGGAUAAAACAUACUUUCUAAUGAAUUACUUGACUUCAGGAAACUUUUUUAACAACUCUAAAGAUCCUUCUUCCUUGCCUCAGGAUGAAAAAAUUAAAAAGCAUGAGGUGAAACUGCUGUUGAAGAGCAAUAAACAAACAGGAAAAGUGGGAUGGACAAUUGAAUUGUAUGGGUUGUAUUUAUUUGCAAAGAUACUGUUGGAAGUAUAGCAGUCACAUACUCUAUUAGACUGCUCCUAAACCGAGCCUUAUUUGAAAAAAAAAACAAGGAGAACCAACAACCACAUUUGUAGACCCAGUUUUUUGGUGUCCUUUUUUUUUUUCCUUUUGGUAUCUUCAGUUAAGUAGCCAACCACUUUCAUAUUGUCAGAUCUGUUUUCAGAAAGAGGGCCUACUUUUGCUCAGAAACCAGUGUUCUGUGUGGAGAAAACAUGGGUCUCCAUUGAAGGAAUCCUACAAAUCUCUGAUAUCUGCAUGUUUGAGAAAGUACUUUCAUUCAGACACAUGGACUGUAACUUCUGAGUCCUUAACCACCACCUCAAAUUAGUAUGUAUUUGUCUACUUUUAAGUGUAUUUAACUUUUUGUUAUGAAAAUUCAGAAUAUAUUAGAAAAGUAGAGGGAAAAGUGUAAUGAAAUUUUGUAUAACCAUACCUACCUUCGACAGCUAUCAUCUCAUGGGCCAGGUUGUUUCAUAAUUGUUGUUUCCACUUUCCACUUCCACCUCAAAUUAUUUUGAAGUGAAUCCCAGACAUGACAUCAUUUUAUCUGGUAACAUUUCAGUCUGUAUCUUUAAAAGAUAAGAUUUUUUUAACUUAAAAAUGAACCACAUCUAGAAAAUUAACCACACUUAAAAAGUCAACAUUUUCUUACUAUUCUCAAAUAUACAAAACCAAUAUUCAAAAUUUUCUGGUUGUCUCCGAAAGUUUUGUAUUCUUUACUGUUUGAAGCAGGAUACAAAUAAGGUCCAUACAUUGUAAUUGGUUAAUAUGUCUCCUCUUUUAAUCUAUAGGUUUAUGUUUAUUUUUCCUUGUUUCUUAAGAAACUGGAUUGUUUGUGCUGUAGAGCUUUCCGUAGUCUGCAUUUGCUGAUGCUUUCCUGCAGAGUCAUUUAAUGAGCUCCUCAGCCCUGUUUCUUACCUGUUAAUGGGUAGUGAAGACUCUAGAAACUUGAUGAAAUUCAUUUAGGGGAUGGGGGACAAGACUACUGGCUCUUUCUCUUUUUGUGACGUUAGCAGGUGUUGUUGAUCAUUGCCUACAUCUAUUUAUUCCUUAGAGCUUGAAAAAUGGCAAUAUAAUUGUCAUUUCUGGUUUAUUUAUUGGGUGGAAUGCUUCUAUAAAGAUAAACUAGUUUGUUAGAGUUUCAAUUUAUAUAAGAAAAUCAGGAUGGAUGCUUUAUUCUCUCCCUUUAUCAGUUCUUAAUAUAAUGUGUGGUUCCUUAACAUCCUCUAAAGUUUACCAAUGGUUUAAAAAAUUUCAUUGUGAACAUUAAUGCGCUUCAAGCUAUUGCAGUUAUCAUACUUAUGAAUGCCCAGUUUGCCACAUCUCUGAUUAGUCAAAGUUUAUCUCAGUUGGUUCCUCUGUGUUUUUGAAAGAACCUCAAGUUUUUGAGAGCUUCCAGGAUAAUUGGUGUGACAAAAUAUAACAGGCUCAUCUUUAAUAUUUCCUUUCCAAACCUGGAAGCAGGCAAUUAUCCAAGAAAUUUUAGUUUUUUGUCUUGGAACUAGUACUUGAAAACCGUAAUCUUAAAAUUAGUGAGCUCAUUGCUACUGACUUUGUCCUUAAUCUAGGCCCUUUCAAAGGAAAGAGCUAGAAAAAGUGUGUGUAUGUGUGUGUGUGAGAGUGUGCAUGUGUAUGUUUAAUUUUAAGACUAAAUACAUCAGGAGCUCACACUAAUACUUCCUAUUAAUAUACAGGCCAACAGGAUUUUAAUUUAGUCACAUAAAUCUUGUAUCAUAUCAAUGUCCUUUCUUCCCAGCCGACCAUCCUACAAUCUUAAUUCUUAAUGACAGUAGCGUACUUAUUUGCUUAUGCUACAAAUACACUUACAACAGGCUCAGAAUAAUAAUACCAAGACUACUACCAUCAGUAGUGAUGUACACAUCCUGUGUACACCCUGUGUACAGCCCCCUUCUUCUCUUUAAAGAUGUAUGUAUUACUGAGGUUUUAAGUCAUGUAAAAUUGUUUCUUUUGGUGUGAUUAUGCCACCAGCUAGAUAUAGAUAGAUUCACUUGGCUCUUUUUGCUUUCAAUUUUUUGGGAUUAAAAUGUUAGCUAGGAGAGACCAGAGCAGUGCAUAGUCUACCUCACUUCUCACUACUGAGGUUCUACCUAAUUGCAUAUGAAUUAAGAGAUUUUCCAUUCUGACUGGUGAGAAAAGGCCUAUUUCCAGCCCUAGGAAGGUGCCAGGUACUGUUCCCCGUAUAAUUAUUUCCGAUGCUUCUUUCCUCAGCCUUGGGUAGCUUCCUCAUGCACAUAUCCAGAUCUCUGAGACUCUCUGCAGAUUUCAAGAGAUUGUUGUCUGUGCAUCUGCUCUCUCCUGAACUCUGUCCUGUAAGUUCUAGCUACUUUAUUAUCCCAUAUCUUUAGCUCUGUUUCCUCAAUUCAUGGAGUUUGCCUCCCUUGAGUUAGUUGCCCUUCCUGUGCCACUGCUAAGAAACCUUCACGGGCUUAAGCCAGAGCCUUCAUAGGAUUCACCUCCCUCAGGGAUCAACGUUCUUUGUGGUCUGAUAGCUCAUGUCUUGACAACCAUUGUUUCAUAUAUUUUGUCGGGGUUUAUUUUUGGUUGUUUCAGGAAGCAGGGCACAUCCAGUCCCUUUCAGUCCAUCUUGGCUAGAAAUGGAAGUCUCCCCAGUUGUUUCUUAAAAAGGUCAGCUAUAGCUUGUUAAUCCAAACAGUUUCUUAAUAUGAAGCUCAAUAUUUAAAUUAAAUUUAAAAAUAUUCUGAUUGAUGUGUGUUUGUUCGUGUGUCGGAAAUCUUUCUGAAACACUGCUGUAGUCUUAAAACUACCAGUGCCACUUCAAGACCUCUUCUUGGCCUAUUUCCUCCCAACUAGGCUUCCCCCAACAGAUGAGUCCUUUUUUAUUUUCUGCCACUUAGAGGCAGUUUUUUGGUUCACUCAUUCAUUUAACAGACAUUUUUGAUUACCUAUUAUGUGUCAUAUGAAGUGUUGAGAAUACAAUGGUGAAUAAAACACCACUCAUUCCCUUAAAAAUGUUGCAAUUUAAUUUUCACACAGAAAUUUGAACAUGAAUGUUCACAGCAACUUUAUUUGUAAUAGCACCAAACUGGAAAUGCCCAUAUGCCCAUCAAUGGGUGAAUGUUUGGACAGACUGUGAUAUAAGCAUGCUAUAGACUACAGCAAUAAAGACUAACAAAACUGUUAUUAUGGGUAACAACCUGGAUGAACCUCAAGGAAAUUGUGCUGAGUGAAAAAAAAAAUCUGUCUUAAAAAGAUACAUUACUGAAUGAUUUCAUUUAUACAACCUUCAUGAAAUAAGAUCAUUAUGGAGAAAGAUUAGUGGUAGCCAGGGGUUAGGGAGGGGAAGGGGAGAGGGUGGGGUGUGCAUAAAGUGGUAGCAGUAGGGAGUCUUAUGGUGAUGGUACAGUUAAGUGUCUUGAUUGUGCUAGUGGUUACUCAAAGCUACACAUGUGAUACAAUGACAUAGAGCUAUACACACAUACACAAACAAAAAUAACUGUAUGUAUAGCUGGUGAAAUAUCUAUGGAUUCUAUGAAAAGCUCCAUGGAUUGUACUAUUGUCAGUUUCCUGGUUUUAAUAUUGCAGUUUUGCAAGAUGUUAACAUUGAGAAUGAGGACGGGAUGAAGGGUGCACAUGACCUUCCCGUCCAUUUCUUUGCAUGUUUUUUGUGAAAUUUUAAUUACUUUAAAAUAAAAAGUUAAAAAAUAUCUUGCAAUUUUGUGAAGAGUACAAAGAACUAAACAGCCAAUUAUAAUAGCCAAUUGUAUACUACCUUUCACUGAAAAUUUUUAUUAAUUUUUAUUUUCUGAAAUAAUAACUGGUUGUUCACUAAAUCCUUUAAAAUUUCUUCUAAGAAGACAUUCCAGUGUAUGUCAGUAGUAUAGUUGACAGAGUAUUUCUCUCUCAUCUUCUGGUAAUUUGUGGUGACUGUGUAGUCCUGAUUUUUAUUAUGGCCAUGGUCUUUUUUGUAUCCUUUCCUAUCUCUGUCUCUAUAGCGGAGAAAACCAUUAGUUAUUUCUUGCGCUUAUUUCAGCAAAGGGGAAGUAAUACAUACAUAUGGGGGAAUACCUUGUUCCCACUCCCAAGUCAUAAGACAAACGUCUCUACUACUCUUGUCUCUUAAAGCUUCCCCAUCAGGUCAUGCUUCUAUUUGCAGGACAUGUAUUAGCAGUAGUGCACUAGCAAAAUAGUUGUGUUGAUUCUCCUCUACCCCCACCAAAGUAAUAUGCCCUCCUUUUAUAGCCUCAGUAAAAUACCUUAACCAUACAAGGCAAACAUUUUGUAAGAAUGAGCAUGUAUUACUACAAAGCAACAGGAGGCUCAUGUUCUCACAACAUGUUCAAAUGUAAGCACAAAGACCCACUCCAGAUUUAAAUAUCAAUGAGUUUUGGAAUACACACAGCUUUGGCUCAUUUCUGGCCCUAUUCUGCCAUCAGCAUGUAUCAGCCAAAGCUUUACUCCGACCCAUUUAGAAAUAGCCUUUGUACGUGAAGAUGAACGCAUGGUUGUAGUGGGUUUUUUACAUAGUCACUUAUUACUAUAGCUUAUUUUAAUUUAGUGACAGAUUGUCAUAUAUUUUGAGUUUUCUCAAGUUAUAAAAGUUUUUUUUCUUUCUUGGAACUAAAUAGAAUAUAUAUUAUUUCUGAUAUGUUGAGGGAAAUUUAUGUUGGUUUUGUUCAUAUUACUAGAAAAGUCACUCAAUAUGAAUUUGUGCUCUUGUGACGUUGUGACAACUCAGUUGUCCUAGAAUUUUUAUUAGGCUGUUUCUAAAUUUCACAAAUCCUUGAAUAGGUGAGUUUACAAUAUAUAGACUGGAAGUACUUUAUUUUUAAAAAUUUUUCCCCCAAAACUCACCCCCUCUUCUCAGUGUCAGGAAAACCUCUUUGGAGUUCUAUUGGACUAAGUGUCUGAGUCUGUGCCUAUGUGGGUUGCUGGAAUAUUUACCAGGCAGAAAACAUUCUUGAAGUUUUUAAUUUGAUCUGUCUCCUUGAAAUAAAUAUCACGAAAAGUAUAUAUAGGUACCUUUGGUUUGUGUCCUUUACCUUGAAAAGUAUAGCAGCCAAUUUGAAAUUGCCUAGGUCUACUUUGUGAAAUUCACCACUUAGUUCUACCUUUGAUCUCAUGCUUCUUUUUAAAAAAUUGAUGAAUUCAUUGGGUCUUGGGCCUUUUUUUUUUUAAUUUUGCUUAUAUAGUCAUAAUGUACUUUACAUUUAACAGGUCAUUUAUGGUUGAUUCAAUCCCAAGACUUUUCCUUAUUUUUUGUUGUAGUCAAUUGUGUACUACUUUUCACUUAAAAUGUUUAUUGAUUUUGAUUCUCUGAAAUGAAACCCAUUUUUGUGCUAAAUCUUUUAAAAUCAUUCUAAGAAAAUAGUCAAGUUUAUGUAUACUUGACUUAGAAUAUUUCUGAUAAUUUGUGGUGACUCUGUGGUCCUGAUUUUUAUAUGGCCAUGAUCUUUCCUGUGUCCUCGUCUUCUCAUAUCUCUCUCUAUAGCUGAAAAAAUUACUAGUUAUUCCUUAUUGUUAAUUAUUUCUUUAAAAUGCAGUCAUAAGGAUUCUCAAAGUUACACAACGUUCCACAAAUUCUAUACUUUUUCUACAACCUUAAUUAAGAUUGCACCAGUGCUAAAAUGGAUAUACACAACCAUACUAUUAAAAAUAUUACAAGCAUUUUUGGAGAGGAAUAGGAAUUAACAGGAAGCAGUACGGUUUCCAUAGAUUUGGAAAGCCACCGAAGAGGAAUUUUUUUUUUUUUUUUUUU